UGUUGGUUCUGUCUCCCCAGCUGGACUCGAAACUCUUCAGUGCAGGGAUGGACCCUCAUACUUCUCCUCUACCUGCCUGGCCCGCUGAGCGCUCCAAGCUAUACUGCACACAGAGCAGCUCACAAGUCGCUGGAGGAAUGUAGCCCUCCCCUUUCUCUUCUACAGAACUCAGAGACACUCCUCAGUGGCCACGACUCUCAUCCAGCAGAAACUUUUCAGAGGUGGGCAGCAGCCCAGAGUAGACACAGAGUUCGUGUUUUCUGGUGUACAGAGAUAAUCAACAUUG